CCACCGAUAGCUCAGUUGGUAGAGCGGAGGACUGUAGAACCUUAUGUCGCUGGUUCGAAUCCGGCUCGGUGGA